rnacentral:rRNA from 1 species
AACGAACGCUGGCGGCAUGCCUAACACAUGCAAGUCGAACGAGACCUUCGGGUCUAGUGGCGCACGGGUGCGUAACGCGUGGGAACCUGCCCUUAGGUUCGGAAUAACUCCCCGAAAGGGGUGCUAAUACCGGAUAAUGUCUUCGGACCAAAGAUUUAUCGCCUUUGGAUGGGCCCGAGUUGGAUUAGCUAGUUGGUAGGGUAAAAGCCUACCAAGGCGACGAUCCAUAGCUGGUCUGAGAGGAUGAUCAGCCACACUGGGACUGAGACACGGCCCAGACUCCUACGGGAGGCAGCAGUGGGGAAUAGUGGACAAUGGGCGAAAGCCUGAUCCAGCAAUGCCGCGUGAGUGAUGAAGGCCUUAGGGUUGUAAAGCUCUUUUAACCGGGAUGAUAAUGACAGUACCGGGAGAAUAAGCUCCGGCUAACUCCGUG